rnacentral:rRNA from 1 species
AGCGGCGGACGGGUGAGUAACACGUGGGCAACCUGCCCUGGAGCGGGGGAUAACAUUUGGAAACAGAUGCUAAUACCGCAUAAUAAUCAAAACCACAUGGUUUUGAUUUCAAAGAUGGCUUCGGCUAUCACUCCAGGAUGGGCCCGCGGUGCAUUAGCUAGUUGGUAAGGUAACGGCUUACCAAGGCGAUGAUGCAUAGCCGAGUUGAGAGGGUAAUCGGCCACAUUGGGACUGAGACACGGCCCAGACUCC